GGAUUAGAUACCCUGGUAGUCCACGCCGUAAACGAUGGUCACUAGCUGUUUGACUAACACUGGUUAGUUGAGUGGCUAAGCGAAAGUGAUAAGUAUCCCACCUGGGGAGUACGUUCGCAAGAAUGAAACUCAAAGGAAUUGACGGGGGCCCGCACAAGCGGUGGAGCAUGUGGUUUAAUUCGAUGAUACGCGAGGAACCUUACCAGGGCUUAAAUGGAAAAUGACAGGGGCAGAGACGCCCCCUUCUUCGGACAUUUUUCAAGGUGCUGCAUGGUUGUCGUCAGCUCGUGCCG
rnacentral:rRNA from 1 species